rnacentral:rRNA from 1 species
AUUGAACGCUAGCGGGAUGCUUUACACAUGCAAGUCGAACGAGUGGCGGACGGGUGAGUAAUGUAUGGGGACUGCCCGAUAGAGGGGGAUAACUACUGGAAACGGUAGCUAAUACCGCAUACUAUCGGAUAACCCAUAUGGGAUUAGCUAGUAGGUGGGGUACUGGCUCACCUAGGCGACGAUCCCUAGCUGGUCUGAGAGGAUGAACAGCCACACUGGGACUGAGACACGGCCCAGCCUCCUACGGAGGCAUCAGUGGGGAAUAUUGCACAAUGGGCGAAAGCCUGAUGCAGCCAUGCCGCGUGUAUGAUGAAGGCCCUAGGGUUGUAAAGUACUUUCAGUCGGGAAGCGGUACCUACAGAAGAAGCACCGGCUAACUACGUGCCAGCAGCCGCGGUAAUUC